GACGAACGCUGGCGGCGUGCCUAAUACAUGCAAGUCGAGCGGACCUCUUCGGAGGUCAGCGGCGGACGGGUGAGUAACACGUGGGCAACCUGCCUGUAAGACUGGGAUAACUCCGGGAAACCGGAGCUAAUACCGGAUACUAUGUCAAACCGCAUGGUUUGACAUUCAAAGACGGUUUCGGCUGUCACUUACAGAUGGGCCCGCGGCGCAUUAGCUAGUUGGUGAGGUAACGGCUCACCAAGGCGACGAUGCGCAGCCGACCUGAGAGGGUGAUCGGCCACACUGGGACUGAGACACGGCCCAGACUCCUACGGGAGGCAGCAGUAGGGAAUCUUCCGCAAUGGACGAAAGUCUGACGGAGCAACGCCGCGUGAGUGAUGAAGGUUUUCGGAUCGUAAAACUCUGUUGUCAGGGAAGAACAAGUGCCGGAGUAACUGCCGGCGCCUUGACGGUACCUGACCAGAAAGCCACGGCUAACUACGUGCCAGCCGCCGCAGUAA
rnacentral:rRNA from 1 species